GGGAAUCUACCCAGAUCUACGGAACAACAGAGGGAAACUUCUGCUAAUACCGUAUACGCCCUACGGGGGAAAGAUUUAUCGGAUUUGGAUGAGCCCGCGUAAGAUUAGCUAGUUGGUGAGGUAAUGGCUCACCAAGGCGACGAUCUUUAGCUGGUCUGAGAGGAUGAUCAGCCACACUGGGACUGAGACACGGCCCAGACUCCUACGGGAGGCAGCAGUGGGGAAUAUUGGACAAUGGGCGCAAGCCUGAUCCAGCCAUGCCGCGUGAGUGAUGAAGGCCUUAGGGUUGUAAAGCUCUUUCAGUGGGGAAGAUAAUGACGGUACCCACAGAAGAAGCCCCGGCUAACUUCGUGCCAGCAGCCGCGGUAAUACGAAGGGGGCUAGCGUUGUUCGGAUUUACUGGGCGUAAAGCGCACGUAGGCGGUUUGUUAAGUCAGAGGUGAAAUCCUGGAGCUCAACUCCAGAACUGCCUUUGAUACUGGCAAGCUCGAGUCCGGAAGAGGUAAGUGGAACUCCUAGU
rnacentral:rRNA from 1 species